CUGCCAGUAGUCAUAUGCUUGUCUCAGAGAUUAAGCCAUGCAUGUCUAAGUACAUACCUUCAAACGGUGAAACCGCGAAUGGCUCAUUAAAUCAGCUAUGGUUCCUUAGAUCGUACCUACUACAUGGAUAACUGUAGUAAUUCUAGAGCUAAUACAUGCCACUAUGCCCUGACCCGCAAGGGAAUGGGUGGAUUUAUUAGAACAGAACCAACCGGUUGUGGCUCGGUCACUUCCGACAUUUUCUGUGAUGACUCUGGAUACUUUACUGAUCGCAGUCGGCCUAGUGUCGGCGGCGGAUCUUUCAAAUGUCUGCCCUAUCAAUUAUCGAUGGUAGGUGACCUGCCUACCAUGGUGAUAACGGGUAACGGGGAAUCAGGGUUCGAUUCCGGAGAGGGAGCCUGAGAAACGGCUACCACUUCCAAGAAAGCAGCAGGCGCGCAAAUUACCCAAUCCCAGCACGGGGAGGUAGCGACGAAAAAUACGGAUACGGGACUCAACAGAGGCUCCGUAAUUCGAAUGAGUACAAUUAAAUCCUUUAACGAGGAACAACUGGAGGGCAGUCUGGUGCCAGCAGCCGCGGUAACUCCAGCUCAGAAGCGUAUAUUAAGUGUGCAGUUAAAAGCUCGUAGUUGGAUCUGGGUCGCAUGGCUACGUGCCGUAGCUUGUAUUCCCGUCUCGGCUACGGUUGGGUCGGGUUUGUGAGUCGGUUUCGUGGCUGUGUAGCCCUUCUGCCGUGUCUGUUUCGACAGGUGCUGAUGGUUAUUCCGUUGGCAUGCUUCCGGAUGCCUUUAACCGGUGUGUCGGGGGCGGACGGCACGUAUUACUCUUGAACAUAAUUUGAGUGCUCAAAGCAGGCCUAUGCCUGAAUAAUUCUUGCAUGGAAUAAUGGAAUAGGACUUCGGUUCUAUUCUUGUUGGUUUUCGGAUCCGAAGUAAUGGUUAAGAGGGACAGACGGGGGCAUUUGUAUGGCGGUGUUAGAGGUGAAAUUCUUGGAUCGCCGCCAGACAAACUACAGCGAAAGCAUUUGCCAAGGAUGUUUUCAUUGAUCUGGAGCGAAAGUCAGAGGUUCGAAGACGAUCAGAUACCGUCCUAGUUCUGACCAUAAACGAUGCCAACUGACGAUCCGUGGGCGUUCUUUAAGUGACCCCUACGGGCAGUCCCCGGGAAACCUUUAAGUCUUUGGGCUCCGGGGGAAGUAUGGUUGCAAAGCUGAAACUUAAAGGAAUUGACGGAAGGGCACCACCAGGAGUGGAGCCUGCGGCUUAAUUCGACUCAACACGGGGAAAACUCACCCGGCCCGACACUGUGGGGAUUGACAGAUUGAGAGCUCUUUCUUGAUUCGGUGGUUGGUGGUGCAUGGCCGUUCUUAGUUGGUGGAGCGAUUUGUCUGGUUAAUUCCGAUAACGAACGAGACUUUAACCUGCUAAAUAGUAUGCCUGUCCUCUGUGCUCGUGCGGAUAGCGGUGUCCAUCGCCUCUUCGGGGGUGGUGGCGUCGUUGUCGGCGGGUACUGCGCAGGUGUCUACUUCUUAGAGGGACAAGCGGCGCUACAGUCGCACGAAAUUGAGCAAUAACAGGUCUGUGAUGCCCUUAGAUGUCCGGGGCCGCACGUGCGCUACAAUGACGGUUUCAGCGAGUAUAGCAUCCUGGCCCGAAAGGGUUGGGCAAACUGAAUCAUAACCGUCGUGACUGGGAUCGGGGCUUGCAAUUGUUCCCCGUGAACGAGGAAUUCCUGGUAAAUGCAGUCGUAAACUUGCGUUGAUUACGUCCCUGCCCUUUGUACACACCGCCCGUCGCUACUACCGAUUGAAUGGUUUAGCAGGUCAUCGGAUCGGUGCCAUUGUAGUUGUUUCGGCAGCUCGACCGGUGCUGAGAAGACGACCGAACUUGGUCAUUUAGAGGAAGUAAGUCGUAACAAGGU
rnacentral:rRNA from 1 species